AGUUGUUAAUCCAAAGGAACUUGAUAAUCUUCUAAAGGAAGAGGUUGGGGCUUGAGGGAUAACGCUAAAUAUAGUGAAGAGUUUGGAAGCAAUAAUGGUGAAAUGAAAGAAGACUGCAUAUGUUACAAGUAGGUAGUAAACAAAAAGGAUUUUUAGGGUUUUUGGUAGUCUUGGAUCUGGAGAUGUUUCACUACCUGAGGCUACCCUUGUAGAAAUAAGAGAUCAGCAGAGUUUCUUGGAAUUGAAGUUGCAAUUUCAGACUGUAUUAGCUGUUAUGUUGUAUAACAUCAAUAUCAAUUUCCAUCGUCUUAGGAACUUUUUUGUUUGUUUACUUUUGUACGUCGGUUGAAUGUUGGUGGUAUACAUUUUGACUAAAUGUUAGUGUAUUUUGAUAUUGGAUUGAUUUUUGUAA